GGACGUUUAGCUCAGCUGGUUAGAGCGUACCGUUCACAUCGGUAAGGUCGGUGGUUCGAGUCCACCAACGUCCA
rnacentral:tRNA from 1 species